AAAGGUCACAAGUUUGAGGCCAUAGCAGAAGUGCUCACAGCACUGCCCUGUCAGAUUCCAACAAAUCUGUGAAUUCUGCU
rnacentral:ribozyme from 1 species